UACGGGGGGGGCAAGCGUUGUUCGGAAUUACUGGGCGUAAAGGGCCCGUAGGCGGCCAACUAAGUCGGAUGUGAAAUCCCCAGGCUUAACCUGGGAACUGCAUCCGAUACUGGAUGGCUUGAAUCCGGGAGAGGGAUGCAGAAUUCCAGGUGUAGCGGUGAAAUGCGUAGAUAUCUGGAGGAAUACCGGUGGCGAAGGCGGCAUCCUGGACCGGCAUUGACGCUGAGGAGCGAAAGCUAGGGGAGCAAACGGG
rnacentral:rRNA from 1 species